rnacentral:rRNA from 1 species
UUGUGGAUGAGCCCGCGGCCUAUCAGCUUGUUGGUGGGGUAAUGGCCUACCAAGGCGAUGACGGGUAGCCGGCCUGAGAGGGCGACCGGCCACACUGGGACUGAGACACGGCCCAGACUCCUACGGGAGGCAGCAGUGGGGAAUAUUGCACAAUGGGCGAAAGCCUGAUGCAGCGACGCCGCGUGAGGGAUGACGGCCUUCGGGUUGUAAACCUCUUCACCAGGGACGAAGCUAAAGUGACGUACUGCAGAUUGAUUCAUCGC